ACACAUGCAAGUCGAACGGAGUUCUUACGGAUGAAGCUUCGGCCGAUGAAGUUUGAACUUAGUGGCGGACGGGUGAGUAACGCGUGAGCAACCUGCCUUACAGAGGGGGAUAACAGUCGGAAACGACUGCUAAUACCGCAUGACAUAGGGAGAGGGCAUCCUUUCCUUAUCAAAGAUUUUAUCGCUGUAAGAUGGGCUCGCGUAUGAUUAGAUAGUUGGUGAGGUAACGGCUCACCAAGUCGACGAUCAUUAGCCGGACUGAGAGGUUGAACGGCCACAUUGGGACUGAGAUACGGCCCAGACUCCUACGGGAGGCAGCAGUGGGGAAUAUUGCGCAAUGGGGGCAACCCUGACGCAGCAACGCCGCGUGAAGGAUGAAGGUUUUCGGAUUGUAAACUUCUUUUGUCGAGGAUGAUAGUGACAGUACUCGACGAAUAAGCCACGGCUAACUACGUGCCAGCAGCCGCGGUAAUACGUAGGGGGCAAGCGUUGUCCGGAUUUACUGGGUGUAAAGGGCGAGUAGGCGGUUUUGCAAGUCUGAUGUGAAAUACCGGAGCUCAACUCCGGGGCUGCAUUAGAAACUGUAGGACUUGAGUGAUGGAGAGGCAGGCGGAAUUCCCGGUGUAGCGGUGGAAUGCGUAGAUAUCGGGAGGAACACCAGUGGCGAAGGCGGCCUGCUGGACAUUAACUGACGCUGAGGAGCGAAAGCGUGGGGAGCAAACAGGAUUAGAUACCC
rnacentral:rRNA from 1 species